UGUGCUCUUCCAAUCUGUAACAUACGUACAUUCACAAAGAGUGUUGAGCAGCACCUCAUUACAAGAAGAGUGGAAUAUUGAGGCAAAUUUGUGACAAUAGUCUACAAAGAGUUCAU